CUCUGGUUCUGCAGAUCAGGGAUUAUCCAAAGUCAGGAGCUUUUCCAAAUGGGGUGAAAUAUUUGCCUUUUAAAGCUCCUGUUUCCUCCUGUUGGCAGUGGAGACUCUGCUGGUCUGGAUGCGAAGUACUUCAGCAGCGGAGACGACGGCCUCCCAGUCAAGCCUUUGUCAUCUAACAUCAUUCAAAGAGGGUUUCCAUUGAAGGCGAAGUCCUCGGUGACGUCAGCGUACUUCUCUUCAUGAAAUUCUCCCUCUGCUCUCAUUCCCACAUCUUACUGCAAUAUUUGGAAUAAACCUCUUUAACUACUUGAUUAUUUAA